AGCUAAUAAAAUCCUUAUUGGGUCGAACAACAACCCGAAAGAGUUAUAUAUAAAUGUUUAGGGUUUCGAAGAAACCCCAAUUUUCUUUCUUCGUUAGCUGUCGACGCAUCCCUUCGUUGCCGAUUGGUUUUUAUCUAAGCUAAAAUGCAUAACAAAUAGGGAAAGAUCACCGAGCUCUAGAUUCCUAGGAAGUGGUGCGCAGUCAACUCAUUUUUAUUUCAGCUCUACCAAAAACCGACUCAUUACUUCCAAGGAUAACGCCUCGGUUCAAAUUAACAUUAGUCAUAUGUGUGUGUAUGUAUAUUGUAACCAUGAAACUUUUGUUAAUCAAAUUGAGUUAAUGAAUUUUCUUUUGGGAUUUUCCUUUUAGUAUAUAAUUUUUUGUCGUGUAGGUAGUAGCUUGUAAGCACAUUGCUCUUCAAUUUUCCUAAUUAUGUAAUUUCAUGUUAAUUUAGGCUUCUUCUAAGAUUUAGGGGUGCUAAAUUCCAUCCCAACACAAAAUUAAAUCCGUUCAUAUCAAUCUCAUCCUUAAUUUUAGAGGUCUAUUGCUAGACCUCCAAUUUUAUUUACCUAUAACAGAAGGAAGAAAGACAAGGGGACACGUGGAAAUGGUGAGGAAAGCAAGGAGGGGGGACCGCAAGUUAGUUAGUAGUGGAACGGAAAAAGGGAGCAGGCAGAGCAGAAAGGACAAAUGUCGGGUAAAAGGUGGGAGCAGACUGAAGAAGAGAGCAGAGACCGUUAAGGCAGGCAGACUGGACUUAUAAAUAAGCCCUUCCGUGGGUAAUAGGGGGCAUGUUUUCAUUCUGAGUGUUGUGUGGUGUAGUAGGGCAGUAAUAGAGAGCUUAUUGCUGUGAGUUCUUUUUGUGUUUUGUUCUGUGUAUUCUCCUUAGAGGAAGAACAGACUUAAUAGUUUGGGCUGUAAGUUUCUUGAUAUUUUGGCAAGUUAAAUCAAAGUGUUCUUAAGGA